rnacentral:rRNA from 1 species
UACGGAGGGUGCAAGCGUUAUCCGGAUUUACUGGGUUUAAAGGGUGCGUAGGCGGUACAGUAAGUCAGAGGUGAAAGAUUGUCGCUUAACGAUGAAAUUGCCUUUGAUACUGCUAUACUUGAAUCAGAAUGAGGUUGGCGGAAUGUGACAUGUAGCGGUGAAAUGCUUAGAUAUGUCAUGGAACACCGAUUGCGAAGGCAGCUGACUGGCACUCGAUUGACGCUGAGGCACGAAAGCGUGGGGAGCAAACAGG